rnacentral:rRNA from 1 species
GACGAACGCUGGCGGCGUGCCUAAUACAUGCAAGUCGAGCGAGACUCUUCGGAGUCUAGCGGCGGACGGGUGAGUAACACGUGGGCAACCUGCCUGUAAGACUGGGAUAACACCGGGAAACCGGUGCUAAUACCGGAUAAUCCUUUUUCUCUCAUGAGGAAAAGCUGAAAGUCGGUUUCGGCUGACACUUACAGAUGGGCCCGCGGCGCAUUAGCUAGUUGGUGAGGUAACGGCUCACCAAGGCGACGAUGCGUAGCCGACCUGAGAGGGUGGUCGGCCACACUGUGACUGAGACACGGCCCAGACUCCUACGGGAGGCAGCAGUAGGGAAUCUUCCAUAAUGGACGAAAGUCUGAUGGAGCAACGCCGCGUGAGCGAUGAAGGCCUUCGGGUCGUAAAGCUCUGUUGUUAGGGAAGAACAAGUACCGGAGUAACUGCCGGUACCUUGACGGUACCUAACCAGAAAGCCACGGCUAACUACGUGCCAGCCGCCGCAGUAA